rnacentral:rRNA from 1 species
AUACAGAGGGUGCAAGCGUUAAUCGGAUUUACUGGGCGUAAAGCGCGCGUAGGUGGCUAAUUAAGUCAAAUGUGAAAUCCCCGAGCUUAACUUGGGAAUUGCAUUCGAUACUGGUUAGCUAGAGUAUGGGAGAGGAUGGUAGAAUUCCAGGUGUAGCGGUGAAAUGCGUAGAGAUCUGGAGGAAUACCGAUGGCGAAGGCAGCCAUCUGGCCUAAUACGGACACUGAGGUGCGAAAGCAUGGGGGGCAAACAGGAUUAGAUCCCCUGGUAGUCCAUGCCGUAAACGAUGUCUACUAGCCGUUGGGGCCCUUGAGGCUUUAGUGGCGCAGCUAACGCGAUAAGUAGACCGCCUGGGGAGUACGGUCGCAAGACUAAAACUCAAAUGAAUUGACGGGG